GAUGAAGAACGUAGCGAAAUGCGAUAACUAAUGUGAAUUGCAGAAUUCAGUGAAUCAUCGAGUCUUUGAACGCACAUUGCGCCCCCUGGUAUUCCGGGGGGCAUGCCUGUCCGAGCGUCAUUGCUGCCCUCAAGCACGGCUUGUGUGUUGGGCUCCCUCCCCCCGGGGACGGGCCCGAAAGGCAGCGGCGGCACCGAGUCCGGUCCUCGAGCGUAUGGGGCUUUGUCACCCGCUCUGUAGGCCCGGCCGGCGCCAGCCGACAACCCAUCAUCCUUUUCAGGUUGACCUCGGAUCAGGUAGGGAUACCCGCUGAACUUAAGCAUAUCAAUAAGCGGAGGA
rnacentral:misc_RNA from 1 species